AUACGGAGGGUGCAAGCGUUACUCGGAAUCACUGGGCGUAAAGCGCGCGCAGGCGGGCUGAUAAGUUGGAUGUGAAAGCCUACGGCUCAACCGUAGAACUGCAUCCAAAACUGUCAGUCUAGAGUGUGGGAGAGGAAGAUGGAAUUAGUUGUGUAGGGGUAAAAUCCGUAGAGAUAACUAGGAAUACCAAAAGCGAAGGCAAUCUUCUGGAACACUACUGACGCUGAGGCGCGGAGGCGUGGGGAGCAAACAGGAUUAGAAACCCCGGUAGUCC
rnacentral:rRNA from 1 species